rnacentral:rRNA from 1 species
AGAGCGAACGCUGGCGGCAGGCCUAACACAUGCAAGUCGAACGGACUCUUCGGAGUUAGUGGCGGACGGGUGAGUAACACGUGGGAACGUGCCUUUUGGUUCGGAAUAGCUCCUGGAAACGGGUGGUAAUGCCGAAUGUGCCCUUCGGGGGAAAGAUUUAUCGCCAUUAGAGCGGCCCGCGUCUGAUUAGCUAGUUGGUGAGGUAAAGGCUCACCAAGGCUACGAUCA